rnacentral:rRNA from 1 species
UAGCCGUAAACGAUACUCGCUAGGUGUCGGCCACGGUGCGACCGUUGUCGGUGCCGUAGGGAAGCCGUGAAGCGAGCCACCUGGGAAGUACGACCGCAAGGCUGAAACUUAAAGGAAUUGGCGGGGGAGCACAACAACGGGUGGAGCUUGCGGUUUAAUUGGAUUCAACGCCGGAAAUCUUACCGGGACCGACAGCAACAUGAAGGCCAAGCUGAAGACUUUGCCGGAUUAGCUGAGAGGUGGUGCAUGGCGUAGUCGUGU